UACGUAGGGUGCAAGCGUUGUCCGGAAUUAUUGGGCGUAAAGAGCGUGUAGGCGGCCAGGUAGGUCUGCUGUGAAAACUCGAGGCUUAACCUCGAGCUGUCGGCGGAAACCAUCUGGCUAGAGUCCGGAAGAGGAGAAUGGAAUUCCCGGUGUAGCGGUGAAAUGCGCAGAUAUCGGGAAGAACACCCGUGGCGAAGGCGGCAUCCUGGACGGACAUUGACGCUGAGACGCGAAAGCGUGGGGAGCAAACAGG
rnacentral:rRNA from 1 species